UACAGAGGGUGCAAGCGUUGUUCGGAAUUAUUGGGCGUAAAGCGCGUGUAGGCGGCUUUGCAAGUCGGGUGUGAAAGCCCUCAGCUCAACUGAGGAAGUGCGCCCGAAACUGCAGAGCUUGAGUGCCGGAGAGGGUGGCGGAAUUCCCCAAGUAGAGGUGAAAUUCGUAGAUAUGGGAGGAACACCGGUGGCGAAGGCGGCCACCUGGACGGUAACUGACGCUGAGACGCGAAAGCGUGGGAGCAAACAGG
rnacentral:rRNA from 1 species